UACGAAGGGGGCUAGCGUUGCUCGGAAUCACUGGGCGUAAAGGGUGCGUAGGCGGGUCUUUAAGUCAGGGGUGAAAUCCUGGAGCUCAACUCCAGAACUGCCUUUGAUACUGAAGAUCUUGAGUUCGGGAGAGGUGAGUGGAACUGCGAGUGUAGAGGUGAAAUACGUAGAUAUUCGCAAGAACACCAGUGGCGAAGGCGGCUCACUGGCCCGAUACUGACGCUGAGGCACGAAAGCGUGGGGAGCAAACAGG
rnacentral:rRNA from 1 species